AUUGAACGCUGGCGGCAGGCCUAACACAUGCAAGUCGAGCGGAUGAAGGGAGCUUGCUCCUGGAUUCAGCGGCGGACGGGUGAGUAAUGCCUAGGAAUCUGCCUGGUAGAGGGGGAUAACGUCCGGAAACGGGCGCUAAUACCGCAUACGUCCUGAGGGAGAAAGUGGGGGAUCUUCGGACCUCACGCUAUCAGAUGAGCCUAGGUCGGAUUAGCUAGUUGGUUGGGUAAAGGCCUACCAAGGCGACGAUCCGUAACUGGUCUGAGAGGAUGAUCAGUCACACUGGAACUGAGACAAGGUCCAGGCUCCUACGGGAGGCAGCAGUGGGGAAUAUUGGACAAUUGGCGAAAGCCUGAUCCAGGCAUGCCGCGUGUGUGAAGAAGGUUUUCGGAUUGGAAAGCACUUUAAGUUGGGAGGAAGGGCAGUAAGUUGAUACCUUGCUGUUUUGACGUUACCAACAGAAUAAGCACCGGCUAACUUCGUG
rnacentral:rRNA from 1 species